rnacentral:rRNA from 1 species
AUGGGGAGAGGCUUGUGGGAGUGGAUGAACGUCAAAGCCGACCAUAUCUCCCCAAUAAUCCUGGUGCGCACUUGCCAUGUCAAUGGUGGUGUGUUUUUCUUUUCCUUACAAGAGAGAUGUUCCUCAAGGCUCCUAUUUGGGAGGAACUCAUACACCAGGCCAGAACCAGAAGCCUCUUGGCAUGCUCCUAUAAACAUCAUGAUGUUAGGAUGCCUCACUGUACUGAGAAAAGCAACCUGCAGUGACGAUGCCAUGAUGAUGUUACUACUUUUUUUGAAUAAAAGCAAAAAUACGAUUCAGGAGAAGUCAUCUCAAUUACCUCUUGAUGGAAUUCUUGUUGUCUUUGAAGGCGUUGACAAUGAAGCAACUUUAUAG